AGCUUGUGGGUGCUCAUGUACCUGCUUGCGCCCCCAAACAAGGCUCUGCAAUCUCUGUCUUAUGCUAGAAAAUAACUGAGUUUGAAACCACAGAGCUGCAGACAGAAGGGGAGGGCUGUGAUAGGGACUGGGCUGAAAGAGCAGUGCCUGCCCUGGAGAACACCACUUUGUUUAUGACUGACUCUUUCUGCUUUCAGAGAUGUGGGAGAAAAAAUGAUAGUAUGUACUCUGUAAGACUGUAUAUAGAUGUGUGUGUACACUCAGAGACAGGUACAUUUAUAAACAACUCACAGAACACAUUGCAGUGCUUGAAAACACUCCAGCGUGGCUAUGGACAUCUUGUUCUCUCCUUCUGUUCUUGAGGUGUCAGGUUUCCUUGUUUACAGUCUGCCUCAUUCAGGAUCUGGAAUUCCUAAAGAGCAGUAAAACCCUAUCAUGUGACUGAAGACUGAUUUCCAGGAAAAGCGGAAGAGGUUUUAGGAAAGAUCUGCCUUUGCGAUGGCCACUCCCAGAGAAAUCAACCCUGAGGAAAUUUGUGUCUGAACUGAGGAAGCUCAGUUGUAUUCUCACCUCCUCACUGGAAAUUUGAAAGUUUUUGUUCCACCUUCAUUUUUCCAGUAGUAUUCCUAAUUAAGGCUGUGGAUUAAUUC